rnacentral:lncRNA from 1 species
UAAACAUACACUUCUGUUGACAUGUGUUAACAGCGACGACAGCUAUGCGGAGCCUACGAUUGACGUAAAAUCAGUGUUUUCCUGCGAAACUGGCCUUGGUGGCGUCGUGGUUAGGCCAUCGGUCUACAGGCUGUGUAUUGUCACCAAGAGAGUCCCACACUUAUUCUGUUAACAUUUGCAAGGAAGCCCCACACCAAAAGAACAAAAGUAAAUUUGGACAUUCAUGGCAACUGAACCAACGGAUGUGGAGUCAUUGAUUAGAUGUCGAAAAUGAGAUUCUGAAGACAAACUAUUAAACAAAUUACAUUGCAUCUUGAUAUUGAGAACAGAAUGAUAGAAAUAAUAGAACAGUUUCAACUGAUAUGUUAAAGAAAAACUGGG